UGUAAACAUCCUACACUCAGCUGUAAUAACGUGGAUUGGCUGGGAGGUGGAUGUUUACU
rnacentral:pre_miRNA from 1 species